rnacentral:rRNA from 1 species
AAACCAACAGGGAUUGCCUCAGUAGCGGCGAGUGAAGCGGCAAGAGCUCAGAUUUGAAAUCUCACCUUAGUGUGCGAGUUGUAAAUUGCAGGUUGGAGUCUCGGAUUAGACGUGUGUGCAAGUCCCUUGGAACAGGGCGCCACUGAGGGUGAGAGCCCCGUAGUGUGCAUGUCAUGAUCUGUGAGGCCCUUCUGACGAGUCGAGUUGUUUGGGAAUGCAGCUCUAAGUGGGUGGUAAAUUCCAUCUAAGGCUAAAUAUUGGCGAGAGACCGAUAGCGAACAAGUACUGUGAAGGAAAGAUGAAAAGCACUUUGAAAAGAGAGUGAAACAGCACGUGAAAUUGUUGAAAGGGAAGGGUAUUGGGCUCGACAUGGGAUUUACGCAUCGUUGCCUCUCGUGGGCGGCGCUCUGGGUUUUUCCUGGGCCAGCAUCGGUUUUNGUUGCAGGAUAAGGACAAUUGGAAUGUGGCUCCUCGGAGUGUUAUAGCCUUUUGUAGAUGCUGCGUAUGGGGACCGAGGGCUGCGGCGGACUCGUUUCGUCUCGGAUGCUGGCACAACGGCGCAAUACCGC